GCAUGUGUAAGUAUAAGUAUUAUACGGCGAAACUGCGAAUGGCUCAUUAAAACAGUUAUAGUUUAUUUGAUAAUCGAAAGUUACAUGGAUAACCGUGACAAAUUACAGCUAAUACAUGCAUUCAGACCUGGCACAAGGGUCGCAAUUAUUAGAUAUUAAAUCUCUUCCUUCGGGAGUGUGACGAAUCAUAGUAAUCGAGCGAAUCGCACAAUUGUGCGAUAAAUCAUUCAAGUUUCUGCCCUAUCAGCUUUGGAUGGUAGUGUAUUGGACUACCAUGGCAGUCACGGGUAACGGAGAAUUAGGGUUCGAUUCCGGAGAGGGAGCCUGAGAAACGGCUACCACAUCUACGGAAGGCAGCAGGCGCGAAAAUUGCCCAAUCCUGACACAGGGAGGCAGUGACAAGAAAUAACUACCCCGGUUUUUUCUGGGAGUGUAAUGAGGAUAAUUUACAAACCUUCCCGAAAGCAAUUGGAGGGCAAGUCUGGUAGACUUAAUAUAUAUUGCCAGAUGUCGAAUCAUAAGAAUAGUACUUCUUGCAGAUUUACUCUUAUGUUUCGGCAGAAAGUUGGAGAUGAGAACCAACUGUACAGUUGUAAAAUGCGGGAAACUCCUAAAGCCUAUCCUACCGCGGUGCCAGCGACAACAAGCUUGCAUGCAGCAGAUGGAGCAAUGUCCAUCGGAUGGUAAAAACGGAUAGGAUGGUCAGCCCACUUAUAAAGACCGCAAUGGACAAUCCGCAGCCAAGCUCCCUGCAAGGGAGAAGGUUCAGAGACUAUAAUCGACUGGGCGCAAGCUUAAGGGAUAGUCCACUCCCACCUCGAAAGGGGUGCCUUGAUGCUAUUAAGGAUACUCAGUCCCUAGGGUGUCAAGGAUCCGCUAGCUAUGCUUAAACUCUGAGAGGAAAUGCUUAGAGAAGGAUGGUAUGCAGGGCCAGCAGCCGCGGUAAUUCCAGCUCCAAUAGCGUAUAUUAAAGUUGUUGCAGUUAAAAAGCUCGUAGUUGAAAUUCUGAUUGCUAGGAUGACCUGUCUUCGGACGGUUAUACCUACAAUCAUCCGCUUGUAAACAUAAGUUCACUCUUCACUGCGUGCCUAUGUGAGCAAGCAUUUUACCUUGAGAAAAACAGAGUGUUCCAGGCAGGUAUGUCCGGAAUGCAUUAGCAUGGAAUAAUAGAAUACGACUGAAGUCUAUUUAUUGGUUUAGGGCUACAGUAAUGAUUAAUAGGAACAGUCGGGGGCAUUAGUACUUGACAGUCAGAGGUGAAAUUCUUGGAUUUGUCAAAGACUAACUAAUGCGAAAGCAUUUGUCAAGGAUGUUUUCAUUAAUCAAGAACGAAAGUUAGGGGAUCAAAGACGAUCAGAUACCGUCCUAGUCUUAACUAUAAACUAUACCGACUCGGAUUCAGAUGAAUUGUAAAGUUCAUUUGGGACCGUAAGAGAAAUCAAAGUCUUUGGGUUCUGGGGGGAGUAUGGUCGCAAGGCUGAAACUUAAAGGAAUUGACGGUUUUGCACCACCAUGGAGUGGAGCCUGCGGCUUAAUUUGACUCAACACUGGGAAACUCAUCAGGGCAAGAAGAUUGUAGGAUUGACAGAUUGAGAGUUCUUUCUUGAUUGGUCUAGUGGUGGUGCAUGGCCGUUCUUAGUUGGUGGAGUGAUUUGUCUGGUUAAUUCCGUUAACGAACGAGACCUUAACCUGCUAACUAGUACAGUUAUCUCCAAUAGCUGUUACUUCUUAGAGGGACUAUGUGUUGUAAACACAUGGAAGUUUGAGGCAAUAACAGGUCUGUGAUGCCCUUAGAUGUCCUGAGCCGCACGCGUGCUACAAUGACACAUUCAACGAGUAUUUCCUGAUCCGAAAGGAUUUGGGUAAUCUUUUUAGUGUGUGUCGUGUUAGGGAUAGAUCUUUGUAAUUAUGGAUCUUGAACGAGGAAUUCCUAGUAAGCGCAAGUCAUCAGCUUGUGCUGAUUACGUCCCUGCAAAAUGUACACACCGCCCGUCGCUAUUGCCGAUUGAGUGCUCAGGUGAACCUUCUUGAUUGUCGCAAGACGAAAAAUUAAGUAAACCUUAGCACUUAGAGGGAAUAAAAGUCGUAACAAGGUUUCC
rnacentral:rRNA from 1 species